GACCUGUGAAGUGUACAAAGCUGCUAGGCUGGACGGGGCGGGAGGGGAGACCUGGAACGAGGAGUCUUGAGAACUAGAGAACCUGGGAGAGAGUCCUAAGAGUCAAUGCGAACUUAGGGGCUGGGGCGAUAACUUCCAACUGGUGAGGGAAAGGGGACUAGGUCUAGAUAACGGCCGACUGCAGACAGAAGAUUCAAAGGAUGGAUGAAGACUGAUAAAGAAAGAGCCCUAUGAAAGGAAGAGGGGAGAAACCAAAGCGCUGCCGGAAGCACAGCCUAAGGCGGAGGCAAUGGGCGAGGCCAAUGAGAAACCGGGCGGGGCUCUACCCUCCCCCAUUAUCCCUUCUAACCCCCAUCCUGGCCAGGGCUCCAGGCUGCGUCACUGCAGAGCUGUCCUGCAGACCAGAGAGGUAGUUUCCGUCACCCCUCAGACUCGGGGCUCCCCAGUGUCCCUGAUCCAGGAUCCUCCAGUAGUCCUCAAGCCCCCGACAGGACCCAGGAGGACAGAGAAAAGACAUCGGGGCUUCCAACUCCUCUCUGUCCCGAAUUUUGGUGUAUCCCCAGGCAAAAACAGUGAAUCCUGAGCAGCCAGGCACGAGAUCAAGUUACUAAAUCAGCAUCUUCGCAAAGUUCCAGAUCCAGGAAAGAGGUCUCCCGGACACUAAAGCUGAAAAUGAGGGGACUUUGCCCAUGAUGUUUGUCCCCCGAGAUCCUCCAACCGCCUUUGGCCUGUUAUUGAGGGGGAAUAUCUCCACUGUAAUCUUUGAGUCCCCGCCUCCCGAGUCCCCCGCCUCCACUACUGGGAUUUGGACUGCCUUUCCGCCCCGGUUCCCUGAGCCUUUGUACGCUCCCCCGUACUCACCCCUAGUCGAGGCGGGGCGGGGAUGGGGUAAUCCCGGGCUGGCGAUGGGGGGAGGGGUGACCCAGCUCUGGGCAGCAAAAGGCUGCGGAGGGGUAAGUGACAUCAUCGCCGGAGGAGGGGCAGCACAGUUCCCCUCAACUCGGGGGCUUCAAGCCCCGCCUUUAGAGGGGUCCAGGACCCAAGAGGAGAAUGAUCAGGAGAUGAAGUCUCGGAAUGACAUCGCCUCCCCUUAGAACGAGAAUCGGAAAACCCUUUACAAUUGCAGCCAACAGCCAUUGCCACCUGUCGCUGCCGUCGCGACCUAUCGCCUCCCACCUUGUUGUGUCUGCGCCCGCCCCCGGCAGGCUGUGAACACGGCCUGGACUACGAUGCCCGUGAUGCUCCGCGGGCGGAGUGCCUUUGACGCAGUGUAAUCGUAGAGCUUUGUGGGGUUUGUAGUACAGGACACCCACACCAGUGUGAACCCUGAAGGAGCGAUACCAUCAUCCUAUCCUUAAUUACAGAGGUCCGGACACUAGUUUUUCCUCUUCAAAAAUUACCCAUCUAAAAAUAAAAAAAGCUACCCUGGUAGGUUCAAU